AUCCUAUUUCCAGCUGUGCUUUGCAGUACCCAGAGCGCUUCGAGAGUAUGUCUGACUUUUUACACCAAGGAACAAACAGUUUGUAAUUCUCCACAACAGCAACAACUUCAUACAUUUCUUGCAUAGAAUACCUGGAAACAGAAAUAGGAACGUUACAGUUACAAGGAAGAAGAAAAUCUUGAGAACUACAAUAUAACCUACGAGCAAACAUUAGCAUGGAUUUGGGACAGAAUGAAACAGAGUUUUCACACCUCUUGGUUUAUUCAUAUUUUACCAGAUGAAAUUAUCAGUGUAUUACUCCCUUUCAAGUGGUGCAGCAAUGUUGAAGAAAUUCCUUGAAAAAGUCUGGCUCGUUGCAGGUGCUUGCAAAGGAGAAGUUCUGGUCAUCAGAACACCACAAGAAGCCAAGUGCCUGAAACAGUGAAAAUGCUUUUAGAUGUGUUUCAUAUCAGCAAAAUGCUUUUAGAUGUGUUUCAUAACAGCACAUUCAAAUGGGACAAACAACCUGUUGUAUAACAUUCCAGAAAAUGUCUGUCAGAUGGAAAAGCAAAGGCUCAUAACAGUACACAAACUGUCAAACAUUUCUUUUCCUUAAGAGAAACUAAAAAUAGCCCCCAGUCAUGACAAAAGUAACUGGCAGAGUGAAACACAAAGGCCCUCAUUAAGUACUUGAACACAUGGCAGCCUGAGUUCAUGUACAAGUCUCAUAUGCACUUAAUUUGCAGAACAGGUUUUCCUAAUAGCAAAAUCAAGGUUUGCAAUACUUAUCCCUUUUGGAAUACACAAAAUAGAGAAGAUUUCACUUGGAGAUACAAAGUCUAACUCUGGUGCCAUCCUUCUCUUAAAAGGACAGUUUAAUUUUGAAAGUCCGUUCAGAAGGUGCAUUGUUACCCAGCUUUCCAAAUUUCCUUCAGAAAAUAUAAUGAAAACCUUGGACACGGUGUUUUCAUAAAUAAAGCUUAAUUACCUGUAAAAGGACUAAUAACCUUAAGAUUGUACCUCAGUGUUCUCUGUUUGUGAACAUCUACACUAAAAUCUAAAAAAUAUUCAUUGUGAUUAACAGUUCUGUUCUGCUAAAUUACUGAUUUUGCUGAGAUCAAGCAGAUAAAAAUGCCAAAUGCUGCCUCAAAAGUUCUGAUUUUUGGCAUCAGGAAAUUAAAAAUGCUACUCUUUGUCCUCAAUGACUCUACAAACAUAAGCUAAAGAGUAACCCAGGUCUUUUACUGUUCUUUAAUUAAACAGUCAGGACUCUACAUCAGAAUUCACAUAAUCAGAAAUGGAACCAAACUUCCCUACUUAGCAUUAGGCUUCUUUGGGGGUCUGUUUGGUU